GCCCUCUCAGGGUGGCACCUGGAGAGUUUCCAGUCCUCUACCAGUCUCGACUCCAGGAGGGAGAGUCAAGCAGAGGCAUUACCCAUUCCAUUCCUAGCUUGGGCAGUGGCUAGGGAGUGGAAAGCAAUCUGCUACAAGU
rnacentral:snoRNA from 1 species